rnacentral:rRNA from 1 species
UACGUAGGGUGCGAGCGUUGUCCGGAAUUACUGGGCGUAAAGGGCUUGUAGGUGGUUUGUCGCGUUGUUCGUGAAAUGCCACAACUCAAUUGUGGGCGUGCGGGCGAUACGGGCAGACUGGAGUACUGCAGGGGAGACUGGAAUUCCUGGUGGUAGCGGUGGAAUGCGCAGAUAUCAGGAGGAACACCGGUGGCGAAGGCGGGUCUCUGGGCAGUAACUGACGCUGAGGAGCGAAAGCGUGGGGAGCGAACAGG